UAUGUGGUCGUGUUUGAGAGACUGGCAAGAAAUGUAUCAUGGAUAGCUUUGUUGGUGAUGUGGAGGAGUUUUUUACUCUAAGUCCAAUGGAACUGUUGGAAGCUUUUAAGCCCUAAUCAAUUUGACCUGUAUUAUGCUUUAAAAGGUCAUUCUGGCUGGCUGCUGUGUGGAGAAUGGACUCUGCAGAGGAAGAAGUAGAAAUAGCCCAUUGAAGUCCAGGUGUGACAUAUUGGUUGCUGGGAUUAGGGCCAGAACAAUGGAGAUGGUGAGUUGAUGGGCUUGUACAGAUCUUUCUACCUGAGCCAGAUGUCAUGCAAGAUCCUGGCGAAAUGGAGAUGAAAAGACCCAUACCAGCUUUCAAGGAGUAGCUGUCAGAUAAGUGGGCGAUUGCAGUAUGUGAAGCUAGAAGCUCAGCAUGUGUGGCUUAAGUCGUGUGAGCCUCAACAUCCGCAUCUCUAUAAUGGAAGUCUCAAGGAUCAUCCUCACUGAGCUAUUGUGAGCAUUGAGCCAAUACAUAAGGAGGAAACCUUUUGUAAACAGCAAGCAUAUAUGAGACCUCCUUAUUAGUAUACUUGGUCAUAACUAUGUUUACAAAAGUAAUAACCACAAUGAUAUGAUGAAUUCUAUGGUCAUAAAAGGAGGUCCCAUGGAAGUCCCUAGAAGUGGCAAGUCAAUGUGUUUUUCAAACCCAGGUUCUCCCUUAAAGGGAACCAGCACAUCAACAAGACAGGAGCUUGUCAGCUUUCUCUCUCGCUGAAUCUGGGCCAGGCCCAUUGCCUGAAUUUUAUGUUAAAUAAUAAAAGCACUGACAUUAAAUGUGUUGCCACGAAUCAACAACCUAUUUAAGGUAAGGUAUUAUGGCACAGCGGUCCCCAAGCAAUGUGUGUUUUAAAAAAAUAUGCUUAGAACUGCAAGUGCUUUGUGUAGCUGCUUCACAAAAUCACUAGAGCUGAAGUAUUUGUAUUUUAAUGUUUAUCCCCAAACUGGCCUGCUGUUUUCAAAUUGCCCAGGAAACAAAAUGUUGAAAAUGGAAGGAAACCAGCACAAGCUAGAUUUAGAAAUGCAGUGUUAGUAAAGCAAGCUGUGGGGUUCUGAUACCUUAAGAGCACCAUAAAAUGCUCAUAAUUAAAUAACUGUUUUUCUUAACACAGCUAUUCCUAUUUUUCCCCCAGCCACUUAUGUAAAAGCAUUUAAUGUUCAUUCUUUCAUUACCAACCAGAGACUCUUGUAAAGAGGGAGCUGGUCCCAGAAAUUGUUAAAAAUAUUUUAAUAAUGGGGUCUUUUACAAGAGGAAAACUGUAUUAGGAAACGAAAUCAGGCUCUAGAUACUUCCUGUGGUUAUUUUUAUUGGCAAUGGGCCCACAAAUGAUUUAUAUGGAGGAGGAUCAUGCCAUGGAGCUGCUACCUGAACAACAGUGGUAAAAGCAAUAACAAAAUGCAUUCUGGUUGUCGGUGUCACAGAGACUGUGGAGGAGCAGGGGGCUACCAGUAUCUGAAGAAAGAGAGACAAGUGUGCUGGGGAACCAUAACACGGAACAGCCGGGCUUCCAGAUAAUUAAUGGAAGGAAGGAAGGGGAUGAAACCCAAAUCAGGUGGGAUUUCAAGCGCUCCUACCACGGAUGGGCAUAAUUUAUACAACAUUUUGAAAGCCUCACACCAACUAUAUGAGGUGAAUGUGCAGCCAAGGCUGAAAUCGCUUAAGUAACUCUGUCAAGUUUGCACAGGGAGGAGGUAGCAGAGAUAGUGGGAUGUCUCACGUCUGCAUGACUCUCAAUCCCGUUUGUUCUCUGCUAUUCAGUGAAUAAUACUGAGGUAGCAAGUGAAAGUAUGAAUGAAGUGGGAAGUGUUCGAGACUUGUAGCAGAAUGCAAGAGAAGGAGAAAAUGCUGUUCAAUGGUAUUUCCCCAAGUAUGGUCCUGGGUCAUCUGCCUCAGAAGCACGUCAAAAGUUUGUAAAAAAUGAAAAAUUCCAGGUCUUCCCACUGUAGAUUACGGAAUCCGAUUCCCUAGGUGUGGGGCUCAAGGAUAUCAGGUUAUUCAUUUAUUCCCCAAGAACCUAAAUUGAUUCUCAUGCACACUUAGGAGACAACCAUAACCACCAAUAUGUCUUAAUUUGUUCUUUAUACUUAACUUAAUGGGAGUGUACUCCGAGGAGAUACCUCUCACAGCACUGUCGGUUAGUGAAACACAUUUUCAGAAACGCUCGUUCAUAUUUAUAUAAUUAUAAACUUGUCCAACCCUUCUGCUGUGUGAACAGAGGACCCUUAGGAACAUGAGUUUGAGGUUAUUGUAAAUAUCUUUGCUGUGGUAUGAUGGCUGUUUCUAAGAGACAUUCAGUAAGUGUUCAUGUUCCUAUACCCAAUGGGAAAUCUUUUUUCAGUUCACACUUUAAUCAGGAAGUAAUUUUUCCCACGAGAGUGGUGUAUUAGCUGUUGCUGUGUAACAAAUCACUGCAAAACCCAAUGCCUUACAACAACAAAAAGGAUGCACGUGAAGGACAUGCAAAAGACAAAGCCAACCUCAGAAGGCCAUAUAUGAUAUAAAUUAUAUAACAUUCUUGGCAAAACAAAAUUACAGAAAUGGAGAAGAGAUCAGUGAUUUCCAGGGGUUAAGGAUGAUGUAUGGGAUGGAUAUGACAAUCAAAGGGUAGCAUGAAGAUCUUUGUGGUGAUAGAGAAGUUCUGUAUCUUGAUUCUUUGUCUUGAUUACCCUGGUGGUUAUAAGAAUCUACACCAUGGGUAAGAUGGCAUAAAACUCUACACUCAUAUGCUACCUGCUUUGAUUUUUGGUUUUGAUUUUGUACUAUAGUUUUAUAAGAUGCAAUCAUUGGGGGAAACUGGGUGAAGUACACAUGAGAUGUCUCUGUAGGAAUCCUGCAGU